UACGUAGGGUGCAAGCGUUGUUCGGAAUCAUUGGGCGUAAAGCGCGUGUAGGCGGCCACUUAAGUCUGGUGUGAAAGCCCGGGGCUUAACCCCGGAAGUGCAUUGGAUACUGAGUGGCUAGAGGGCGAGAGAGGGAAGCGGAAUUCCUGGUGUAGGGGUGAAAUCCGUAGAUAUCAGGAGGAACAUCGGUGGCGAAGGCGGCUUCCUGGCUCGUUUCUGACGCUGAGACGCGAAAGCGUGGGGAGCAAACAGG
rnacentral:rRNA from 1 species